rnacentral:rRNA from 1 species
AUUGCCCCAGUAACGGCGAGUGAAGCGGCAACAGCUCAGAUUUGAAAUCUGGCCCCCCACGGGGUCCGAGUUGUAAUCUGUAGAGGAUGCUUUUGGCGACGCGCCUUCCGAGUCCCCUGGAACGGGGCGCCAGAGAGGGUGAGAGCCCCGUACGGUCGGACGCCGAGCCUCUGUAAAGCUCCUUCGACGAGUCGAGUAGUUUGGGAAUGCUGCUCAAAAUGGGAGGUAAAUUUCUUCUAAAGCUAAAUACCGGCCAGAGACCGAUAGCGCACAAGUAGAGUGAUCGAAAGAUGAAAAGCACUUUGAAAAGAGGGUUAAAUAGCACGUGAAAUUGCUGAAAGGGAAGCGCUUGUGACCAGACUUGCGCCCGGUUGAUCAUCCAGCGUUCUCGCUGGUGCACUCUGCCGGGCUCAGGCCAGCAUCGGCUCCCCCAGGGGGAUAAAGGUCGCGGGAACGUAGCUCUCUCCGGGGAGUGUUAUAGCCCGCGGCGGAAUACCCUUAGGGGGGGUCGAGGCCCGCGUUCGCAAGGAUGCUGGCGUAAUGGUCACCAGCGACCCGUCUUGAAACACGGACCAAGGAGUCAAGCAUUAGGGCGAGUCUUUGGGUGUAAAACCCGCAGGCGCAAUGAAAGUGAACGGAGGUGAGAGCUUCGGCGCAUCAUCGACCGAUCCUGAUGUUCUCGGAUGGAUUUGAGUAAGAGCCUUACCGCUUGGACCCGAAAGAUGGUGAACUAUGCCUGAAUAGGGUGAAGCCAGAGGAAACUCUGGUGGAGGCUCGCAGCGGUUCUGACGUGCAAAUCGAUCGUCAAAUUUGGGCAUGGGGGCGAAAGACUAAUCGAAC